AUUCCUACUAAGACUUCUAGAGGAAUCAACCCACAUCACCAAGAAAUGUCAACUCAGCUGGAAAUGAAGCCAGUGCCCAUCUAAGAGUGCUGGAGUAGCCUACGCCGCUCCAGUAUGGCACCCAGGUCCCCACAGCCCACCAACACAAUCAACUUGAGAAGAUCCAACGACAUGCAGCCAAAAUCAUCAUGCGCCCCCCUACACCCCCUACGACUCUGCAUGCAAUGACUUGGGCUUGCAGUCCUUGGAGUCCCGUCGCACCCACCUCUGCAGAUCCUUUGCCCAGAAGCUUGCAAAGUUCCAGGAUUACAACAAAUGGCUGCCUCAGACGAGAGUCCAUGUCAGUGGCAGAUCUGCCCAAUCCAGUCACAAACUGAACCUUCCCCCUACUCUGACUGACAGCCAAACCUGGACGACACUGGGCCAAUUGUGCACCACCCUAUGAUACUCC
rnacentral:lncRNA from 1 species